ensembl:lncRNA
AAACACCCUUACUCCCCUCUCUCUCCUCCAAACACCCUUACUCCCCCUCUCUCUCCUCCAAACACCCUUACUCCCCCUCUCUCUCCUCCAAACACCCUUACUCCCCCUCUCUCUCCUCCAAACACCCUUACUCCCCCUCUCUCUCCUCCAAACACCAUUACUCCCCCUUCUCUCCUCCAAACACCCUUACUCCCCCUCUCUCUCCUCCAAACACCCUUACUCCCCCUCUCUCUCCUCCAAACACCCUUACUCCCCCUCUCUCUCCUCCAAACACCCUUACUCCCCCUCUCUCUCCUCCAAACACCCUUACUCCCCCUCUCUCUCCUCCAAACACCAUUACUCCCCCUCUCUCUCCUCCAAACACCCUUACUCCCCCUCUCUCUCCUCCAAACACUCUUACUCCCCCUCUCUCUCCUCCAAACACUCUCGCAUGCUAAUCUGAAUAGUUCAAAGUCCACUGCCUCUUAUUAAACGCUGCACUUUUAUGACGUAAGAGGCCUAGGUAUUCGAUAGGAUGGCAAUCUGCACAAAGACAGAGAUCACAAGAUGGUGGAUUGAUAGGUGAGUCGACACUCCAUAUAUGUCUACUGAUUAGGAUUAUGCAGAGAGAGAUGGACCACUGAGAUGGCUGCAGUCUGAGAAGGGUGAAAUAGCAAUGUCAGAUUUGGGAUGAAAUACUAUUGAAAUCUUUAGCAUGCCUGGGGUUUUGCAGAUGGGCGUGGUUUGCAGUUAUGGCCCUAUUUUGUCCAUUAACCCAGGCCAGCUCAAUCAAGCACAGAUAAAGUAUUUGAAAUUAUUUCAAAUAUUAUUUGAGCCUAGGUCUGAUAUAACCAGUGGCCCUGGACACUACUCUUUCCCCUUCACAAGUUGAAUGUGGCAGGCAUUUCCGAAAGGUGACGAUUUGAAAGAAAACCAUAGCAAUUCAAAAAAAAAAUUUUUUUUUUUUUUUUUUUUACAUUUGGAGAUUUGUGUUCAUGGUGAUGGUAGAUGCAAGAAGAAAGAGUUUUGAGUCAAUAUGUGUAAUUUGCUGUUUGUUCCUGGAACCUUGUGUCAAUUAUAUACGUUGUAAG